rnacentral:rRNA from 1 species
AGAGCCCAGCACCGAAUCCCUCAGCUGGUUGCUGACGGGAAGUGUGGUGUUUAGAGUGAUCGUUGUGCGUUGGACUGGCGUCUAAGUCUUCUUGACUGGGGUUUGAUGGCCCAGAGCGGGUGUCAGGCCUUUAAGGCGUUGGUUUGGCGUGCAUUGGUUACUCGAAGAGUCGGGUUGUUUCUGAGUACAACCCAAAGCAGGUGGUAAACUCCAUCUAAGGCUAAAUAUGAGUACGAGUCCGAUAGCGAACAAGUACCGUGAGGGAAAGUUGCAAAGAACUUUGAAGAGAGAGUUCAAGAGUACGUGAAACCGCCCGGAGUGAAGCGGGUGAGGCCACAUGGUUGCUUGUUGGAAUCAAUUGUAUGGUUGGGACGCAUGAUAGGUUGUCGCAUGUACUGCGAGGUAUGUGGGCAGCUUGUUGUGUGUUCCUGGCUGUGCGAUGUAUUUCUGACUCGCGAUGCGCUACGAGUGGUAACAUGGCAACAAGAAGUCACCUGAGCAGGUAGCAUCUUUCGGUUGCGCUUGUUGGCCGCAAAGUGUGAUGGCUCAGGUGCGAAUUGUUUGUUGUGUCACCUAGGACAGCUUGUUCUGAGCUGCAGCGGUUUGUGCCGUGCAGAGGGGCACGUAGGUUGUCCAGGUGGAUGUGCCUUGGCCGGGACUGCUUUGCAGUGUCGGUUGGGGUAUGUCUAUUGUGGGCAGCUGCGAUGCAAGUGAAUUGAAACGAAUUGCUGUUCGGUAGCCAGUUGGUCACUCACCCGUCCCGUCUUGAAACACGGACCAAGGAGUUCAGCAUGCAGGCGAGUCUGAGGGUUGUGCAAAACCCGAAGGCGAAGUGAAAGCGAAGGCUGCCCUGAUGCAGCUAAGAUGUGAUCCGGUGCUUAGCGAGAGCUAACCCGGCGCAACAUCGUCUCGUUGCGACCCCGCGUGGGUGCGGCGAAGAUUGAGCCUGCACGCUGUGACCCGAAAGAUGGUGAACUAUGCCAGAGGAGGACGAAGCCAGAGGAAACUCUGGUGGAGGUCCGAAGCGAUUCUAACGUGCAAAUUGAUCGUCAGACUUUGGUAUAGCGGCGAAAGACUAAUCGAACCAUCUAGUAGCUGGUUCCCUCCGAAGUUUCUCUCAGGAUAGCUGGCACUCGCUUUGAUUUUUACCCGGUAAAGCGAAUGAUUAGAGUGAUUUGGGUUGAAAAGAUCUAAACCUAUUCUCAAACUGUAAAUGGAUGAGUUGUUCGACUCUCU